rnacentral:rRNA from 1 species
UCGAACGAUGAAGCCCUUCGGGGUGGAUUAGUGGCGAACGGGUGAGUAACACGUGGGCAAUCUGCCCUUCACUCUGGGACAAGCCCUGGAAACGGGGUCUAAUACCGGAUAACACUUGCCGAGGCAUCUCGGUGGGUUGAAAGCUCCGGCGGUGAAGGAUGAGCCCGCGGCCUAUCAGCUUGUUGGUGAGGUAGAAGCUCACCAAGGCGACGACGGGUAGCCGGCCUGAGAGGGCGACCGGCCACACUGGGACUGAGACACGGCCCAGACUCCUACGGGAGGCAGCAGUGGGGAAUAUUGCACAAUGGGCGAAAGCCUGAUGCAGCGACGCCGCGUGAGGGAUGACGGCCUUCGGGUUGUAAACCUCUUUCAGCAGGGAAGAAGCGAAAGUGACGGUACCUGCAGAAGAAGCGCCGGCUAACUACGUGCCAGCAGCCGCGGUAAUACGUAGGGCGCAAGCGUUGUCCGGAAUUAUUGGGCGUAAAGAGCUCGUAGGCGGUCUGUCGCGUCGGAUGUGAAAGCCCGGGGCUUAACCCCGGGUCUGCAUUCGAUACGGGCAGACUAGAGUGUGGUAGGGGAGAUCGGAAUUCCUGGUGUAGCGGUGAAAUGCGCAGAUAUCAGGAGGAACACCGGUGGCGAAGGCGGAUCUCUGGGCCAUUACUGACGCUGAGGAGCGAAAGCGUGGGGAGCGAACAGGAU